CUCGUCGACGACCAGAUGGUGCCCGAGAACAGUCUCCGGUCCUUGAACUCGAUGCAGGCCCGGGAGAGCAUCGCCCACAACCUGCUCCACCGUGGGCUCGCCGGCACCGCCUUCUUCUAGCGCCUCCCUGAAUGAACGACAGAGCCGAUCUGCAGAAAAUUUUCCAAUUGGUGAGCAAGGUCGGAGAUUUCUACUCCCCAGCCGACAGACAGGAAGGAAAACGCAAUGCAGUUUAGGGGCAUCAAGAGGACGGGGAGCGCAUCGGAGGGCUCUCUAUAUUCCUCCGAAGGGCUGUAACGAAACACAGUGACUUGUGAUUCUUUUUUUUUUCUUGAAUGUCCUCAAGAAAAAAGUUGACAUAAAAUUUCUGAUUAGCAUUCUUUUUGUACCAAAGAAAGAUGAAGACUUCCCUUCUCGUCUUGACACCUUUCUAGCCGUGAUCUAUGGCUCCGCUGUGGGUACCUGACUACGCAAGAAAAUAAGCCAACUUUACUCACUAUUUCCAUCCCCUCUCACACUCAGACAUUUCAGAGGAUCAGAACGCGAAAUGGUACUGAAAACCAACUAGUUUACACACCACGUCCAGUCAUUUCAGACAUCCAUGACGGAAAAAGAAAUGGCAAUGCCUCACAAUUCAGGAGUUUCUGUAUGUUUCAACUAGAGGGAUGGGGGGAGGGGUUUCCAUCUUCAUGACGACCCAGUGUGCUCCUACAUUCCGGUUCUUGUCUUGUUUGCCUGCACUUUUUUCUUUAUUUCUAGCAAGUUGACCUUUGGCGAUUUCCUGAUGGAUAAUUACAUUUCUGUUUAGUUGAACUAUGACUAUUUGGUAAGUGCUCAAAUCAUAAGCCCCCAAGCGAUUAGCCUAGCUUCCCCAGUGAUAAGACAGCACUUGGAUGUUGAGAAUUUUCGAUUCUACAAGAACGAGAUUUUGAAAGUAACCUGGAUGAAUAAGCCUUUAUAGAACAAAUAUUUUUUUAGUUGAUCAUUACUGCUGAAUCAAGAGACUUGAUAUGAGAUGUAGCUGGUCAGUACCAUGAAAAGUAUGUUGGUGUAGCACGAUUUUGCAGCACAUUAUGGGAUUUUUUUUUUCUCAAAAUGACACGACUUUCUAGAGAAAAAUGCUGAGUGCAGAAUGCAGUUGAACAUAGGAAACUCUCGGUAACCUGCAUCAGUGACCGUCCCAUGUGGUAUAAGCUUUUACAUGAUUUCCCGAAAAGAGAGGCAACGCUGCUGGGCACAACCGUUGUGUACUAUCUGCAUAAAACGAUUAUAUAGGAUAAUUAAUGGUUUCCAUCAUAGAAUGCCUGGCAUUAAAAAAAUAGAGGCAACAAAAAAAGGCAAAAAACAUUACAUAUGAGCUAAAUUGAGCACCAGUCGACUCUAAAUUGAGCACCAGAUAAAUUGAACAAUCCUUGUGAAUUCUUAACUAUGAGAACUUCUGAUCCCAUUCCUUCCAAAUGGGGAUCUGCCACCCAAACAGAUCUUAGUUAGAGUCAACUAACAUGAAGAUGUUAAGCGCUUGGUAGGUAUACUGAAAUGUCAUCGACAUCAUAUAUAAAUGAUUGGAGGCUUACCUUCUGGUCGAAAUCGCCAAGAAUGUACUCGUUAGCAGGCUAGAUUGUGAAAGAGUCCUCCAAAAAUAUGCCACCAAACGAAGCAUGACCUUGGAUAUUAUGCGGAAAGGCAGAGACAAAAAUCCGAUAGGCAGACCUUACUCUCUCCAUCUCAAACAGUAGACUACCCACGGCACGGUAAACAGGCUUCUGGAACUCCAUGCCAGAAUCUUGCAUAAAUGCGUUGAAAGAAAGCCAUUGAGGGAAAAGUAUGGCGAAUAUUGAAAGAAUAACAAUAAACAUUGACUCUCUUUAGAUACUCUCGCCCAUGUAGACAAUCUAUAUAACAACUUAAUCCUCCAAAUCGCCAUAGCAUAAGAAGCCUCUUGCCCUUUAUGUCUAAAACGCCUUCCCAACCGUAUGGCACUCCUGGAGACUAAAAUUGGAUUUAUUUCAUAGUAACAACACCUACAUUAAAGGUAAAUAGCCAGCCCACCGUCAAACCCAUCUAUCAUUAGAGCCACGCUUCAUUCUGCACAGGACUUCUAACUUUUGAGAAUUUUUCAGGAAUAUGACUUGUAUGCCUCACCAUCUAACAUAAUGAAUGUGGCGUCACAACAAUUCCUACCUAGUGCAUAGGGGUUAAAAGAAUUCCGAAAUAAUUGCUAUAGGUGACUAUCUGUCUGGUAACUAGAUUAAGAAGUUUUAACAUGUUAAAUAUAUAUGGUCCAAGAACAAUUCAAAAUACUAAAUCCAGGUACAAAGAGAGAAUCUUAAGAUCAUUUUACUGAGGAAUAUCAAAUGACCACCCCGUACAUGCGUACUUCUGAGGAACAUGUUAAUCGGGGGGAAAUUGUCAGUAAUCACUCUCAUAAAAAUAAAAAUUCCUUCCCUUGAUUCACACUAAGAGUAUCAAAGUCUAAUGCAGCAUAAACCUGUAGUGAUCGUGAUCUUUCUCAGAAUAUGCACUAUCUGGUUACUACCCGAUGACACCUGACACGCUAGCGCUUGAUAUCUCAGAAAUGCUCCAGCGUAAGCCCACGUACAUGUCUUAUCCGAGGUGAUGACAGACGGAGGAGGGGUUCGCAAUAGCUUACUUGCCCCCAUUAAUCAGAAUUCAUGAUCACAGAAACCAGAUAUGGAACUUCGCCCCAGAUAAUACGAAUCAGAGGACAAUGCGAGGGAGGAAAAAUAGAAACCUCAAGGCGUGACGAAUAACUAGCGAUCAAGACUUCUGAAAAAAAGUUUUCACAGUGAUGAGCUAUCUAUCCUAUGGAAAGCACAAUCACUCACCUGCAUUCAUCGGCAAGAAUCCACAGAAUAUGUGGCCGUAAGGAGCCGGAGGAGUCCCCAGUCCGUCACAGUAGACACUCCGACCCAGACAUUCCCAGUUACCUCGGUCGCGGAGUGGUCGAUGGAGUCGUCACCCAUUUGGUAUCUGGGAUCGAACCCUUCCAUCUCUCUGCAACAGAGCUUCUACCCUCGUUUUUUAC
rnacentral:lncRNA from 1 species